rnacentral:rRNA from 1 species
CGGGUGAGUAACGCGUGAGGAACCUGCCUCAAAGAGGGGGACAACAGUUGGAAACGACUGCUAAUACCGCAUAAGCCCACGGGUCAGCAUCGACCAGAGGGAAAAGGAGCAAUCCGCUUUGAGAUGGUCUCGCGUCCGAUUAGCUAGUUGGUGAGGUAAUGGCCCACCAAGGCAACGAUCGGUAGCCGGACUGAGAGGUUGAACGGCCACAUUGGGACUGAGACACGGCCCAG